rnacentral:rRNA from 1 species
GAGUAGUAAAUGUUUUGGACAGGAAACUUAAAGAAUUUGGCGGUAUAUAUUCUAUUUAGAGGAAUAUGUCUUUUAAUUGAUAAUCCACAUGUAUUUUACUUAAAUUUAUUUAUUUUGUAUAUCUCCGUCUUAAAAAAAUUUUCUAAAAUAUUUUUUAGUUUUUAAAAUUUAAAAUAAGUCAGGUCAAGGUGCAGAUUAUAUUUAAGUUAAGAUGUAUUACAAUAAAUUUAUUUUUGAAUUAAAAUUAAAAUAGUUUUAGGAAAAUGGAUUUAUAAGUAAAUUUUUUUAUAUAAUAAUUUAUUGAAUUGUGUUAAUAUAUAUGCACACAUC